rnacentral:rRNA from 1 species
AUUGAACGCUGGCGGCAUGCCUUACACAUGCAAGUCGAACGGCAGCACGGGAGCAAUCCUGGUGGCGAGUGGCGAACGGGUGAGUAAAGUAUCGGAACGUGCCCAGUCGUGGGGGAUAACGUAGCGAAAGUUACGCUAAUACCGCAUACGAUCUAUGGAUGAAAGCGGGGGAUCGCAAGACCUCGCGCGAUUGGAGCGGCCGAUAUCAGAUUAGGUAGUUGGUGGGGUAAAGGCCCACCAAGCCGACGAUCUGUAGCUGGUCUGAGAGGACGACCAGCCACACGGGGACGGAGACACGGCCCAGACUCCUACGGGAGGCAGCAGUGGGGAAUUCUGGACAAUGGGCGAAAGCCUGAUCCAGCCAUGCCGCGUGCAGGAUGAAGGCCUUCGGGUUGUAAACUGCUUUUGUACGGAACGAAAAGGACUGCCCUAAUACGGUGGUCCCAUGACGGUACCGUAAGAAUAAGCACCGGCUAACUACGUGCCAGCCGCCGCUGUAA